rnacentral:misc_RNA from 1 species
GAUGAAGAACUUAGCGAAAUGCGAUAAGUAAUGUGAAUUGCAGAAUUCAGUGAAUCAUCGAAUCUUUGAACGCACAUUGCGCCCGCCAGUAUUCUGGCGGGCAUGCCUGUUCGAGCGUCAUUACAACCCUCAGGCCCCCGGGCCUGGCGUUGGGGAUCGGCGGAGCCCCCCGUGGGCACACGCCGUCCCCCAAAUGCAGUGGCGGUCCCGCCGCAGCUUCCAUCGCGUAGUAGCUAACACCUCGCGACUGGAGAGCGGCGCGGCCACGCCGUAAAACACCCAACUCUUCUGAAGUUGACCUCGAAUCAGGUAGGAAUACCCGCUGAACUUAAGCAUAUCAAUAAGCGGAGGA